rnacentral:rRNA from 1 species
AUGCAAGUCGAACGGUGAAGCAGAGCUUGCUCUGUGGAUCAGUGGCGAACGGGUGAGUAACACGUGAGCAACCUGCCCUGGACUCUGGGAUAAGCGCUGGAAACGGCGUCUAAUACUGGAUACGAGACGUGGCCGCAUGGUCAACGUUUGGAAAGAUUUUUUGGUUCAGGAUGGGCUCGCGGCCUAUCAGCUUGUUGGUGAGGUAAUGGCUCACCAAGGCGUCGACGGGUAGCCGGCCUGAGAGGGUGACCGGCCACACUGGGACUGAGACACGGCCCAGACUCCUACGGGAGGCAGCAGUGGGGAAUAUUGCACAAUGGGCGAAAGCCUGAUGCAGCAACGCCGCGUGAGGGAUGACGGCCUUCGGGUUGUAAACCUCUUUUAGCAAGGAAGAAGCGAAAGUGACGGUACUUGCAGAAAAAGCGCCGGCUAACUACGUGCCAGCAGCCGCGGUAAUACGUAGGGCGCAAGCGUUAUCCGGAAUUAUUGGGCGUAAAGAGCUCGUAGGCGGUUUGUCGCGUCUGCUGUGAAAACUGGAGGCUCAACCUCCAGCCUGCAGUGGGUACGGGCAGACUAGAGUGCGGUAGGGGAGAUUGGAAUUCCUGGUGUAGCGGUGGAAUGCGCAGAUAUCAGGAGGAACACCGAUGGCGAAGGCAGAUCUCUGGGCCGUAACUGACGCUGAGGAGCGAAAGGG